CCCAGACUCCUACGGGAGGCAGCAGUGGGGGAUAUUGCACAAUGGGGGGAACCCUGAUGCAGCGACGCCGCGUGGGUGAAGGAGCGUUUCGGCGCGUAAAGCCCUAUCGGCAGGGAAGAAGGAGGACGGUACCUGACUAAGAAGCCCCGGCUAACUACGUGCCAGCAGCCGCGGUAAUACGUAGGGGGCAAGCGUUAUCCGGAUUUACUGGGUGUAAAGGGGGCGCAGACGGCAGCGCAAGCCAGGAGUGAAAGCCCGGGGCCCAACCCCGGGACUGCUCUUGGAACUGCGCGGCUGGAGUGCAGGAGGGGCAGGCGGAAUUCCUGGUGUAGCGGUGAAAUGCGUAGAUAUCAGGAGGAACACCGGUGGCGAAGGCGGCCUGCUGGACUGCAACUGACGUUGAGGCCCGAAAGCGUGGGGAGCAAACAGGAUUAGAUACCCCGGUACA
rnacentral:rRNA from 1 species